AGUGAACGCUGGCGGUAGGCCUAACACAUGCAAGUCGAACGGCAGCACAGUAAGAGCUUGCUCUUACGGGUGGCGAGUGGCGGACGUGUGAGGAAUACAUCGGAAUCUACUUUUUCGUGGGGGAUAACGUAGGGAAACUUACGCUAAUACCGCAUACGACCUACGGGUGAAAGCAGGGGAUCUUCGGACCUUGCGCGAUUGAAUGAGCCGAUGUCGGAUUAGCUAGUUGGCGGGGUAAAGGCCCACCAAGGCGACGAUCCGUAGCUGGUCUGAGAGGAUGAUCAGGCACACUGGAACUGAGACACGGUCCAGAGUCCUACGGGAGGCAGCAGUGGGGAAUAUUGGACAAUGGGCGCAAGCCUGAUCCAGACAUACCGCGUGGGUGAAGAAGGCCUUGGGGUUGUAAAGCCCUUUUGUUGGGAAAGAAAAGCAGCAGGUUUAUACCCCGCUGUUCUGACGGUACCCAAAGAAUAAGCACCGGCUAACUUCGUG
rnacentral:rRNA from 1 species